rnacentral:misc_RNA from 1 species
GUCGAAAUUAGAUUGGGAGAAGGAAAAAGAAAUAAAAGGAAAGAAAACCGGAAACAGAGAUAAAGCGCGAAGAAUCGAAGCAGCGAAGAAUCGAAAACCCAAAGUGAGUUGGAGCCUGUAGAUUUCUCUGCAAUUGGUGAAGUUGGUGAAGGUCAGAGCUACAUAAAUCUCUAAACCUUAAUCCCACACUCUUAAGAGUUUUGUUUUCACUCUUGAAUUGCGCUUCUUUUCUCUAAAAUUCCAAUUUCACCUGCAAUUGGUGUUCUGUUCUUUAACUCAAUCUUCCAGCUCCACUGAUCUCUUUUUUCUCAAACUUCAAAUUUUCUAAAUUUGAAGUUUCCACCUUUUAAGUUCCGUCUCAAAAUUUACAAGCCGGGUGGGGGGGG